GACGUAGGGCGCGAGCGUUGUCCGGAUUUAUUGGGCGUAAAGAGCUCGUAGGCGGCUUGUCGCGUCGGCUGUGAAAACCCGCGGCUCAACUGUGGGCGGGCAGCUGAUACGGGCAGGCUGGAGUUCGGUAGGGGAGACUGGAAUUCCUGGUGUAGCGGUGAAAUGCGCAGAUAUCAGGAAGAACACCCGUGGCGAAGGCGGCUCUCUGGGACGGUACUGACGCUGAGACGCGAAAGCGUGGGGAGCGAACAGG
rnacentral:rRNA from 1 species